UAGGGAAUCUUCCGCAAUGGGCGAAAGCCUGACGGAGCAACGCCGCGUGAGUGAUGAAGGUCUUCGGAUCGUAAAACUCUGUUAUUAGGGAAGAACAAAUGUGUAAGUAACUAUGCGCGUCUUGACGGUACCUAAUCAGAAAGCCACGGCUAACUACGUGCCAGCAGCCGCGGUAAUACGUAGGUGGCAAGCGUUAUCCGGAAUUAUUGGGCGUAAAGCGCGCGUAGGCGGUUUUUUAAGUCUGAUGUGAAAGCCCACGGCUCAACCAUUGUAGGCUUUGGAAACUGUUUAACUUGAGUGCAGAAGGGGAGAGUGGAAUUCCAUGUGUAGCGGUGAAAUGCGUAGAUAUAUGGAGGAACACCGGUGGCGAAAGCGGCUCUCUGGUCUGUAACUGACGCUGAGGCUCGAAAGCGUGGGGAGCGAACAGG
rnacentral:rRNA from 1 species